rnacentral:tRNA from 1 species
CCGGUUCGUGGGGACGGACGGCCACGGGCACCUGGCGGGCGCCCUGGUGGACAUGGGCACGGGGCCGGUGGGCUCGGACGCCACGGACCGGC